rnacentral:rRNA from 1 species
CCUACGGGUGGCUGCAGUGGGGAAUAUUGGACAAUGGGGGCAACCCUGAUCCAGCCAUGCCGCGUGUGUGAAGAAGGCCCUCGGGUUGUAAAGCACUUUCAGUGAGGAAGAACGCCUGGUGGUUAAUACCCAUCAGGAAAGACAUCACCCACAGAAGAAGCACUGGCUAACUCCGUGCCAGCAGCCGCGGUAAUACGGAGGGUGCGAGCGUUAAUCGGAAUUACUGGGCGUAAAGCGCGCGUAGGUGGCUUGAUAAGCCGGUUGUGAAAGCCCCGGGCUCAACCUGGGAACGGCAUCCGGAACUGUCAAGCUAGAGUGCAGGAGAGGAAGGUAGAAUUCCCGGUGUAGCGGUGAAAUGCGUAGAGAUCGGGAGGAAUACCAGUGGCGAAGGCGGCCUUCUGGACUGACACUGACACUGAGGUGCGAAAGCGUGGGUAGCAAACAGGAUUAGAUACCCUUGUAGUC